GAUUCUUUGAAGGAAGCUUGUGAAAGCUGCUUCGUGGCGCAGCAGUCGAAAUUAUUUGGUGGUAGUAUCGUUAACGACUGCAAAAUGUGGGUGCUUCUGUGGGACGGUUCCGAAGAAAUAAGUAUCGAUGAUCUUCCACAUCCGAUCCUCGCUUAUGUGCUGCUCAGUCUGGAUGUCGAUAGCCAGUUACGAACGAGCCGUGUGUGCGCGCUAUGGAAGCUGCUUCUACUGGAAUAUGGAGCCA